rnacentral:lncRNA from 1 species
CCCCGCUAUCGGGAGUAAUGCGGCCCGGAUUGGCGGUGACUGAGGGGCUUCGGGACUCCGGCGCCCGGUCCACCACGGCGCUAAAGUCGGAUUUCAAGGAGGUAGCGGACGAUAAGGAUAAGCUGCUGCCGCUGGCCGGACGACUGAGCGGCGCGGACGACGGCGAAGAGGAGCUAGAAGUGGUCUCCGGUUGGCCGAUAUCGGAAGCGGUGGUGGUAGAACAAGAAAACGACAAGAGGCUAAGUUCCGAAAUGGAAUCCAGAUCGCUGCAGUCGCACUCCGUCACCCAAGUGAAGCUAGAACUAGAAACGAAACAAAAUUAAAAACAGGUGCGAAUGGUUGGAGAGCCAGCCAGACAUUAUUUACUUUCUGGACGAUGGAGGAGUGGUCUGAGUAACGGCGUCGGUCUGCCCGACGGUGGCCGCCGUUUCUACUUCUUUAUUUUCGGGAGAGGGUGGUCUGUAAGUACUAGUUUCCACCUUUUUCAUAAAGUCGCGCAGUUCCGUCCGACUCUAAAAACAUUCAAACAGUUUAGCGUAUCCGGCCCACGUAUUCCCCAGCCAAUUUAGAAACGGGCCCCUUACCAUUUUGGAAAAAGAGGCGGAACGAUGGGCCAGAGCGUCUGCCACGGGCGCCUUUCUGGUAAGUUCUUUGGGAAGCGACGAACUGUACUGUUCCUUACACCGCACCCGUCUGGUGGUCUGCGUUUCCUCCAAUUCCUCCACCGGCCCAUCUAUCCGACCCGAAUCCCGGCUAACCCGCCAUUCGGAACUUUUUUCGCCCCGUUUAGUCGGGCCGCUAAGUUCCGAAUUUUCGGGAAGCCGGCCGGAGUCGGUCGGCCGCCAUCGACUGUCGGAUGGCUGGAGAAACGCGGCCCACCGUCCGUCGCCCACGUCGGUCCAUUGAGUUUGAAUGGCUACAUCGCC